rnacentral:rRNA from 1 species
UACGGAGGGUGCAAGCGUUAAUCGGAAUUACUGGGCGUAAAGCGCUCGUAGGCUGUUAUGUAAGUCAGAGGUGAAAUGCCAGGGCUCAACCGUGGAACUGCCUUUGAUACUGCGUAACUUGAGUCCGGGAGAGGAUGGCGGAAUUCCAGGUGUAGGAGUGAAAUGCGUAGAUAUCUGGAGGAACACCGGUGGCGAAGGCGGCCACCUGGACGACAACUGACGCUGAGGUGCGAAAGCGUGGGUAGCAAACAGG